rnacentral:snoRNA from 1 species
UCCAGUUGUUGAUGUGCGGGGAGAGGAAUUGUGGAAGACAGUUUCCCAUGUUUGGAGGGUCCACACCUGUCCCUUUCAAAUGCUGGCACUUUCACACA